rnacentral:lncRNA from 1 species
AAUACUUCAACUGUUCUUCCUUGUUCUCCAGGUGGACGCCUCACUUCUGAUACUUCAACUGCUCUUCCUUAUUCUCCAGGUGGACGCCUGACUUCUGAUACUUCAACUGCUCUUCCUCAUUCUCCAGGUGGACGCCCGAUUGCCAUUUCAAUUCUUCAUCCUUGUUCUCCAGGUGGAUGCCUGAUUGCUAACACUUUCAUUGUUCUUCCUUAUUCUCCAGGUGGACGCCUGACUACUAUUUCCUUUCCUCAUCCUUGUUCUCCAGGUGGACGCCUGAUUGCUAAUACUUCCAUUGUUCUUGCUUGUUCUCCAGGUGGACGCCUGAUUGCUAACAUUUCCAUUGCUCUUCCUUAUUCUCCAGGUGGACGCCUGAUUGCUAUUUCCUUUCCUUGUUCUCCAGGUGGACGCCUGAUUGCUAUUUCCUUUCUUCAUCUUUAUUCUCCAGGUGGACGCCUGAUUGCUAACAUUUCCAUUGCUCUUCCUUAUUCUCCAGGUGGACGCCUGACUUCUAUUUCCUUUCCUCAUCCUUGUUCUCCAGGUGGACGCCUGAUUGCUAUUUCCUUUCUUCAUCCUUGUUCUCCAGGUGGACGCCUGAUUGCUAAUUCUUUUCUUCAUCCUUG